AUCCUUGUAGCGCAAUGGAUAGCGCGUUGGACUUUUAAUCCAAAGGACGUGCGUUAGAAUCCCAACUGGGAUG